rnacentral:rRNA from 1 species
ACGGGAAGAGCCCAAACCAACAAGCUUGCUUGUUGGGGUUGUAGGACACUCUAUACGGAGUUACAAAGGACGACAUUAGACGAAUCAUCUGGAAAGAUGAAUCAAAGAAGGUAAUAAUCCUGUAGUCGAAAAUGUUGUCUCUCUUGAGUGGAUCCUGAGUACGACGGAGCACGUGAAAUUCCGUCGGAAUCUGGGAGGACCAUCUCCUAAGGCUAAAUACUCUCUAGUGACCGAUAGUGAACCAGUACCGUGAGGGAAAGGUGAAAAGCACCCCGGAAGGGGAGUGAAAUAGAACCUGAAACCGUGUGCUUACAAGUAGUCAGAGCCCGUUAAUGGGUGAUGGCGUGCCUUUUGUAGAAUGAACCGGCGAGUUACGAUUUGAUGCAAGGUUAAGCAGUAAAUGUGGAGCCGUAGCGAAAGCGAGUCUGAAUAGGGCGUUUAGUAUUUGGUCGUAGACCCGAAACCAGGUGAUCU